rnacentral:rRNA from 1 species
CCAAAAAACAUCGCCUCUUGCAUAAUAAGAAUAAGAGGUCCGCCUGCCUGUGACAUCUGUUUAACGGCCGCGGUAUUUUGACCGUGCAAAGGUAGCGCAAUCACUUGUCUUUUAAAUGAAGACCUGUAUGAAUGGCACAACGAGGGCUUAACUGUCUCCUUUUUCCGGUCAAUGAAAUUGAUCUUCCCGUGCAGAAGCGGGAAUAACAUCAUAAGACGAGAAGACCCUGUGGAGCUUUAGACAACAAGCAGAGCAAGCUAAAUGCUUUUAAAUUAAAAAAAUUAAACUGCGCACCCUGCUUAAAUGUCUUUGGUUGGGGCGACCGCGGGGAAUACAAAACCCCCAUGUGGAACGAGAAAACAUCACUCUAAAGCUAAGAACCCCCAUUCUAAGCAACAGAACUUCUGACCAAAACGAUCCGGCUAAAGCCGAUCAACGGACCGAGUUACCCCAGGGAUAACAGCGCAAUCCCCUUUAAGAGCCCAUAUCGACAAGGGGGUUUACGACCUCGAUGUUGGAUCAGGACACCCUAAUGGUGUAGCCGCUAUUAAGGGUUCGUUUGUUCAACGAUUAAAGUCCUACGUGAUCUGAGUUCAGACCGGAGCAAUCCAGGUCAGUUUCU